AACUUUUCUCUGUGACAAGCACAGUUCUAGGCACUGCAGACGCCCUGGCAGUCGAGACAUCGUCCUUCUCCCGGCGCUUCGUGGGGACACAGACAGUGAAGACGGGUGCUGUCACAUUACUUUUCCUGAAGCUCCUGGAAGCCAGUACUCAGUUCCACAUGGAUGUGCUCCGGGUUUAUUUGACGUCGUGUGCUUCAGGAAGGGCAGAGCUCCUUCCACGACUCUGUGGAGUGAGCCUCAGAUAAGCUGCAGAGGUGUGAAGAGCGCCUGUCUAAGGAGAUCCGUAAGGCCUCUCCUGCCGGUCUUUCAUCCAGUUCCCCCUGGGUAUGUGGCAUUGGCAGUUCAUAAAGGUGCAACUGGACGCCGACAAGUGGGAAUGGAGCUCCUCUUCACGCGGCUGGUGAGAUGUGCCUGAGAGGAAACCUACUGAGCUCCCCUGACAUUAUCUCCGUCCACCUGAGGCCUGCGUGUUUUGAAAUGUCAUCUUGCUUGAGAGAUAAUACCAGCUCUGAUUGUGUCAGUCACAGAGCUGGGCAUGGAAUAAGUGAAGACAGACUCUAAGAUAAAGUCAAGGUCAUUCAUGCGUGUUAAAGAAAUGGGGCCCUUACUAUGUUCCAGGAAGUAUGGGGCCAAACUGGUGUUACCAGUGCAAUCUUGGGGUGACCUCAGUGUUUGCCCCUGGUCGGAAGUGGGUUUGAGCCCCUCCACCACGAAGAGGAGGAAUUGCGGACAAUGAAAUCUUGUAGCUAUGACAACCACAGAGAGCAAAAGCCAGAGGUGAGCUGUAUCUGUCAAGGCCGAUGGAACACAGGUGAGGCUGGCCAGCACCCACUGGGACAGUUCGCACAGCCUCAUGUGGUUUGAAGACUGCAGGCGGCUCCCACAUGCCCCGGGGCAGGGGUCCCAGCAACUGCAGGUGCUGCCAGACAGUGUCUCGGUUUGUUGCUGAGGCCUGCCACCUGUCACCAACCUGCCAUACAUGAGAGCAGGGCAUCGCACACCUCUCCAGCGUCCCAGCCAGGACACGCCGCUGCGUUGUCCUCUUUGGUGCUGCGGAGUGGGCAGCACCAGGCAAGGCCGGCCGGGCAUCUCAGACCCCAGGACACUAAGAAUGUGGAAGGCCAGCAACCGCUCCUGCUCCCUCGUUUACACCCCCCACCACUUGGCAGGUCUCCCAUCUCCUUGGCUCAGGGACUCCAGAGGGAAAUAUACAAGAUCGACCUGGUGAGUCUCAGAGAUAAUUUAAUCCCACAUUUGCAUUUAUAAUCUCAAAAGUCUAUAGGGACCAGGCAAGUAUAUAAAUGUGUAAUUCUGACUUGUUUAAGACCAUAAGGUGUCAUGGAGCACAGUCUGAACUGGCUACCUCUUAAAGGAAUUCACCCCCUCACCCUGAAAAACCAAAUCAAAGCAAAAUGAAAUGGGUAGCCUAACAAAACACAUCUCUGGGUACCAAGUGUCCCUCAUGCCACCAAUAUGCAAUUUCUGAUCUGGUCUAGCCCUUCAUUUGAUAGACAGAGAGACUGAGUCCCAGGGGAAAUGUUACCUGUUCCUAGGGCAGGACUAGAGGCCUGGUUACCUAAAUUUCCAUCCAUGGUUGGCAACCCCACACAGCCUAACUCAUUAUUUGUUGGGGGCAGGCAGUGGGUAUUGUGAGAUUUCUGAGUACCAAACCUUCAGAGUGUUGACACCAAGCCCCACCUUAUUGGGACUGAGAAAGGCUGAGCCGCCCAUCAUAGGAAGGGCUCACAUACAGGCAGGAUGACCUCUGUGUCUCCAUCUGUAACCUGGAGAUGAAGCCUCCCAAUCUGUCUACUUUAUGUCAUGAGAGGUUUCUUAAAAGGGUAGGGGACUAGAGACAAGGUCAAUGUGCAGAUGAAGUGAGUCGAUUAUGGAAAACCCUGGAACAGUGCCUAAUGCAGAGUAAGUAUUCACUCAGUAUCAGUUGUCACUGCAGUGUUGUUGCGUCAAUAUUAUUGUUUGACACGGUCUAAGACACGACUGGUAAAAUGAAAAUGUUACCCAGAAGCCGAACUAAUGGCAAAUGACUCAAAGCAAGCUUCGUAUGUGAUUCACACGGCAUACCAAGGAAAAUUACAAGGAGAGAAAUUACACAGCACAGCCAGGAAAAUAGAAUAAUGAAAGCCAAGCAGUAAUGCUAUCCAGGGUAAACCUAUUCACCAGCCAGGAAGAUAAGAAUUGAGCAAAUUUGUUCUCGAGAAAGAUACAGCAGAGAGCUUUCUCUGAAAAAGAAAAACUGAACAAUCUGCAUUCUGAGACCUCUUAGGAAAGAAAAUUUCCUUUAGUAAAUACUUCAUAUUCAAAAUGAUCAUGAGCCACAAAAGGCAUUUUUCCUCAAGUGAACUGAGGGGCAUUUUUCCUCAAGUGAACUGAGAAGGUUUCUUAUAAAUUAAAAAGUUUUGGGACUUCCCUGGUGGUCCAGUGGCUAAGAUUGUCCUCCCAAUGCAAGGGUCCUGGGCUGAAUCCUUGGUCAAGGAACUAGAUCCCACCCGUCACAACUUAAAAAAAAAAAAAAAAGGAUUCCACAUGCCACAAUAAAGAUCCAGCACAUGGCAACAAAAUCCUGCGUGCUGCCACUAAGACCCAGCAGAGUCAAAUAAAAAAACAAACCUUUCCCUGCAAAAGUGGAAUGAAUUCAUUGUAAGCUAUUGACAUGAACAUGCCUUCUUAGCUAUCUGAAGCCUCUGGUCUGACGUUGGGUUUCUGCUGCAGGAAGUCUACUGGGCAGUGUGAACUUCUGUGCCUUUUGGGCUGUUCUCCCACACCUGCCAUAACACUCAGGUAUUCCUACCUCACUGAAUGCGCACUCCUUCUUUCCUCUGAGCUCCCAAGACGUGUCCCGCUAGCAUGCUGGCACCUUCACUAGGGGUCCUUGCCGGGGUGUUGAG